rnacentral:lncRNA from 1 species
GAGGACCGGCGGGCGCGACACGCCGGCGCCAUGUCAGCCCGAGGAGUGGCGGUGCUGCUUUCUUGGCUGAGCUGCUGCGGCUCGGCCUUGUGGAGGUAUUCCAGUAACAGCCCAAACUACCGCAUUUUUAGUACCAGAAGUACUAUUAAGUUAGAGUAUGAAGGAACAUUAUUUUCUGAGUGGAGUGUGCCAAGAACUUGUUCUAUAAAAAAUAAAAGUUCACCCAAGACAGAACUGCGUUGUUCUUCUCCUGGUGUUCAGACGAUAAGACCAAUUGUUACGGGUCCAGAUUUAGAAGAAGAACGCUAUUUAUCUGUGGACGUAUCUCAUACUUGCUUUCUGUGGUAUUAUAAUGUUAUAAAUUUCAUUCACAACUUAACCCAGGUUGUCACUGUAUGGAUAUAUGAUCCAGAAAACGCAGACCCUAAUGAGUUGCUACGGAAUGCAAAUGAACCUUCCCUAAAUUCCAUAAUACUUAGCAAGCAAUUUGCUACUUUGGGACAGAAGCCUACCAUACAAACAUUUCUGGAGAGAAAAGUUUAUUUUCCACAUAGACAAAUGAAGAAUGGAGCCUGGCAGAUCACAAUACCAAUGAACUCAGAUGUGCUAAAGGAGAUUGAGGGAAAUCAAGUGGCUUUUCAAGACUGCUUUAUUGCAGACAUUCUUUUCCUGCUGACUACUCCUUUGUUGACAAUGCCCGAGAUUCCUGGUUUUCUACCAAUCUCUUCGCCGCAGGGUAGUCAGCUAAUAGCAGACUGGGCUGCUUGUGUUCCUUCGUCAGUUGUUGUGGUGGCUGAUAUGGAGACCUUUCAGACAAAUAAUUCAUUCCAUACUUGGACCAGAAUCAGAGUGCCUCCAAACAUUCUGACUGAUGAUGAAAGACACAGUGUGUCUGAUGUGACCUUAUCAGAAGAUGGAAUAUUUUUUUUAAUAAACGAUAUUCUUUACAUAAAAAAAUUUAGCGCAUUUACAAGACUGGGAGAAGAUGUAAAUCUUCCUAAUGGUGGAAUUAUUGGGAUUACAUCAAGAAAAUGGUGUUGGGUCAAAUAUUUAUUGAAGGAUAAAGGAAGAAGAAGCAACAUGGCAGUCUGGACAGAAAAUGAGGUUUAUCUUGGAUAUACUUCUCUUGAGUUUGUUAAAAUAAUAACUACUGAAAAGCUGAAAGAACUUCUCAAUCUGUCAUCAGCUGCUACUCUGACUAUACACAAUGUUGAGUAUACAGGACACCCUUUGGAACUUGCCGUGUUAUUAAAUUACUGCAUGACAUGUAACGCCAUUAAAAAGAUUUACCUAGCGAUAUAUAAUGAAGAUACAAAACAGUGGGUAUACCAAGACUUUGCAUUAGAUGUCACUAUUGACACUUUUUUAAUUCCACAUUUUAUUUAUUCAGCAAUGCCAGAAUUAAUACUACAGGACAAACAUAGGAUCUACUACUAUUACCAUAAUUUCACAGAUACUGGAGUUGUACAAACACCUACAGAAUUUGGAAAUCUAUCAAGCUUAUCACAUAACAGCAUUAUUCAUGAUGUUUUCAUAGAUUAUUAUGGAAAUAUUAUGGUAAAAAUGGAAAACAAUGUGAUGUUUUAUUUCAAGAUCAACAUUAAAGAUGCACUAAAGCUACAUUUAUGGACAAAUAGCACAAUAAAAUCAUUGAUUUCCUUGAAUUCAUCUGGUCAAAUAUAUCUCAUAUAUGUUUUUGAAAAUGGCACGGUACAUCCACAGGAAUAUCCCUUAAAACUGGAAGCACAAAGUGUAACUUUCAACACAAAGGAAAAGUGCCCUUUCAUGGCAUUUCAUAAUAAUAUUUUUGGUGUUUUUUACUUUUUGGACAAAGGACAGAACCUGACAGUCUGGGCUCAAAUAGUCUAUCUAGAAAAUAUUGGUCUGUAUAUUAUUGUGGAAUCAUAUGGCCCAAAUAUACUAGAAAAGAAAGAUCACGUUCACUAUGAAAUUGCCUCAGGAUACUGCACCAAAACCAUGCAUGAGAACACAGGUCUUCUGCUUGUUCGGGUGAGACCUAGUGACUAUGCAAAAACAUGUCCAGUAGCCCCAAAGGUGUUCCAAAUAGCUGUUGGCUGUGAUGCUGGUAAAUUCAUUGCUGUCAAAGGAUUUAAUAAAAAAGAAUGUCUUCACUAUGACUUUUUUUACAUUAUUGAAAAGUCAUAUCUGAGGACUCGGCCAUCUAAACACUUGAGAGUACAGUAUAACUGGGAAAAAUAUGGCUGCCCACUGAGAGUUGAUUUCAGAGAAAAGUUUCACCCUUUGAUUCAAUUGUACAAUGAAAACGGCUAUGUGGAAGAUGUGGAAGUAAAUUUCAUAGUGUGGGAAAUACACGGCAGGGAUGACUACAGCUUUAAUACCACGAUGAAGAAGAGUGGCUGUUUGAAUGAAGCUCAGACAUGGAAGUCAAUGACAAAGCUUAACAAGCACCUCCCAUUAGAAGAAGCCUGGGGACCGGAGAACUAUAAACACUGCUUUUCUUAUGCUAUUGGAAAACCAGGAGACUUAAAUCAACCAUAUGAGAUUAUCAACAAGUCAAACCAUAACCAUUUAGUCUGGCCCUUGGACCAUUCUGGAAUGUAUGUGUUUCGUGUGAAGAUUCUGGAUCCAAAUUAUAGCCCAAGUGCUUACCUGGUUGCCGCUUUCCUCUUUCUCCUGAUGCUACUGUUCUUCACUAUUCUGGUUUUGAGCUACUUCCAUUAUAUGAGGAUUUACAGAGAAUAUAUUUAUGUCCCAUUUUACAAAUCUGAAAGGAAACCGAAGAAUAAUUAAGAAAAAAAGUUUAUUUUCUAUGAAUAUAUGUAUAUAGAGAGUGUGUAUAUAUACUUAUAUUGAGAGUAUGUGUUUGACCAAGAAAUACUAAGUAUAAGCUCACAGUAUCAUCAAAUUCAAAAUCUAAAAAAUGUUCAACUGCCCAAGACAGAAAUAUGUUCAUAUAUAAUCUAUGUUAUUAAACUAAUUAAUCCUUAAUGUAUUUGUUUUUAUCUUAAG